rnacentral:rRNA from 1 species
CCUACGGGUGGCUGCAGUGGGGAAUAUUGGACAAUGGGGGGAACCCUGAUCCAGCCAUGCCGCGUGUGUGAAGAAGGCCCUCGGGUUGUAAAGCACUUUCAGUGAGGAAGAACGCCUGGUGGUUAAUACCCAUCAGGAAAGACAUCACUCACAGAAGAAGCACCGGCUAACUCCGUGCCAGCAGCCGCGGUAAUACGGAGGGUGCGAGCGUUAAUCGGAAUUACUGGGCGUAAAGCGCGCGUAGGUGGCUUGAUAAGCCGGUUGUGAAAGCCCCGGGCUCAACCUGGGAACGGCAUCCGGAACUGUCAAGCUAGAGUGCAGGAGAGGAAGGUAGAAUUCCCGGUGUAGCGGUGAAAUGCGUAGAGAUCGGGAGGAAUACCAGUGGCGAAGGCGGCCUUCUGGACUGAAACUGACACUGAGGUGCGAAAGCGUGGGUAGCAAACAGGAUUAGAUACCCCAGUAGUC